rnacentral:lncRNA from 1 species
UCUGCAAGAGGAAAGUGACAGGCCCUUUGCUGAGAACCUACUGAGUCCUAACUUGCUCAAGGCCAUGCAGCUAAAAAAGUGCCUGAGUUGGGAUUCAAAUCCAUUCAUUCAGUCAAUCAUUCAUUAAGCAUAUUUUUAAAUUUUUUUUAAAGAUUAUUUUGAUAUGGAGACAAACUAGAAUCCUUCAGUCCCUCGAUACUCAUGUUCCCAAGGGAGCGAAUGGACAUGUGAACCAUCACAACAGUCAGGUGUUGUGUGAUGGACGCUGCAUAGGGCAUCAUGGGUGAGCCUCCUCCAGAAGCACUGCCUCAUGAGAUGAGGCCUCUUUAAUAUGUCCCCAGACUCUCCAGUGUGGGCCACCCGACUGCACUGCAGCAUUCUGAGAAUUACUGGAUCAUUAUAAAGUGACUUGCAUCUCUUGGUACAUUUGGGCGGCCUAAAAUGUACAGGAAUCAUCAUUUUUCUUUCCCAGUUCAACAGAGGAUGAUUUAAAAAUAUGCUUGACUUGAAGAAUAAGGAUAAAAAAAAUAAAUAAAUAAACGUGGGAGCCCAAGGUAAAAAUGGAAAACAGAUGAAAUCCAAAGUAUUUUCAAGGUGUCUUUUUCCUCUGUGUUUCUAUUUUGCAGGUUUUAAAAGCAGAAUUAAAGUGUAAAGCAGAGGGAAAUUUCUCUGAUGCGGCAUUUACAUAAGAAACACAUUCAGAAAAAGAGGCUGUGAUUCUGAAAGUGUCCUUAUUAUACUGCACUAAAAAUUUCCCUGGGGAUGGGGGAGGUUUAAAUUAGUUGAAGAGAGGAGGAAAUAAACCCCUCUCUUCAAAAUGUGAGUCUCUCCCAAACCAAAAAUUCCACCUUAGGAAAUGGCCACAUGGUGAUCAAGAGCAGACAGAGCCCUCA